rnacentral:rRNA from 1 species
AACGAACGCUGGCGGCAUGCCUAACACAUGCAAGUCGAACGAGACCUUCGGGUCUAGUGGCGCACGGGUGCGUAACGCGUUGGAACCUGCCCUUAGGUUCGGAAUAACUCCCCGAAAGGGGUGCUAAUACCGGAUAAUGUCUUCGGACCAAAGAUUUAUCGCCUUUGGAUGGGCCCGCGUUGGAUUAGCUAGUUGGUAGGGUAAAAGCCUACCAAGGCGACGAUCCAUAGCUGGUCUGAGAGGAUGAUCAGCCACACUGGGACUGAGACACGGCCCAGACUCCUACGGGAGGAGGCAGUGGGGAAUAUUGGACAAUGGGCGAAAGCCUGAUCCAGCAAUGCCGCGUGAGUGAUGAAGGCCUUAGGGUUGUAAAGCUCUUUUACCCGGGAUGAUAAUGACAGUACCGGGAGAAUAAGCGCCGGCUAACUCCGUG